rnacentral:rRNA from 1 species
UUGAAAGGGAAACGAUUGAAGUCAGUCGUGCUGGCGCGAAAUCAACCUUCUCGUCUUGAGAUCACAUGGCGUGGCGAGCCUCAAAACCGUCACGAAGCGUGAACUCUUGGUGAAAUGGAGCACUUUCGUGUCCGCUGGUUAACAUCAAUUUCGAACGUCAUAAAAAGGCUGGAGGGAUGUGGCUCCUUCGGGAGUGUUAUAACCUUUAGCGGAAUGUGGUGGACGGGAUUGAGGAUUGCAACGAAUACCUUUAGGGCUGUUCCACCUGGCUUCUCUUUGGUAUCCUGGUGACGACAGCUUGCUGACCUUGUUAGGAUUCGCCUUUGAACAGGCUAGAGUGUGAGCAAAUUCGUUAAGGAUGUUGACGUA